CACAUCAGCUCGAGUGAGAAUACGCGCUAAACUUAAGCAUAUCAGUCAGCGCACGUAAAUAAUAGAAACUAACCAGGAUUCCCUUAGUAACGGCGAGUGAACUGGGAUACCAAUAUACCAUCUGUGCGUACCUCGGUGCGUGCAAAUUUUAGCCCGUCGAUACUAUCCUAGCAUAAUACUGGCUUCGGCCGGUAACCUAUCUAUGCGGGAAUUGUAGCAUCGUACAACAAAUAUAUUAUACAAUGUAUAUACGCGCAUUGCAACACACACACACACUUAUAUACUGCGUACACUUACUUUAAACACACAGCGCUCCCGCGUUGGAAAGCAAGUAUAUAUCCUUUUUGGGUAUGCCAUAGAGUGUGACAGCCACGUUUCAACUCUACGUACGCACUGCAUAUGCGUUAUAUAUACACACACGUAUUUUAUAUAACCUGAGUCGAGUUAUUUGGGACUAUAGCUCUAAUAGUUUGGUUGGUGGUAAUGACACAUCAAAGGCUAAAUAUUGGUUAGUCGAUGCAUAUUGCGGAGACCGAUAGCAUACAAGUACCGUAAGGAAACGAUGAAAAGCACCCUAUUGAGUUCACGCGCAGACUGUCUUUGCAAUUCGUUGCGAGACGUCUUGCGCCCAACAACUACAGUGGGAGUGAAAGAGAGAGUGAAAUCGCCUAUACAAAAUAUAUUAUGCUGUACACACACACACACACACACACACACAAACACAGCUCUGUGUUAACCCACAGUCUGCGUUAGUACAAUCGGACAGAGUGUCGUAUCACUUAUACAUAAGCCGCCUAAUACGCAGUAUAUUCUACGUAUUAUGGCUUUGGCUCAUAGCUGGCCUCGGCGCUAUACGCGACACAACUGUACGACCCGUUUUGAAACACGGACCAAGGAGUUCAACUGGAUUACGAGUCGUCGAGUUAUAUUUUAUUAUAUACACUCAUACGGCGUAGCGAAAGCAAUCUUAAUCCUAAGGUGCUAGGUCGAUGCCUCGUGUACUGACCGCAGCACGCGCUGAGUGAGUAUAUGUAUGAGGGCUUACGUGUCAACGUACGUACCUUUGUAUAUUUAUACGCGGAGGAUCACUCAAGCGUUCAACGAGUAUAUCUUGUUGAGACCCGAAAGAUGGUGAACUAUGCUCGGAUAUGGCGAAGUCAGGUGAAAACUUGAUGGAAGCUUGCGUUGUGCGGAACUGACGUGCAAAUCGUUACCGCCUAGCCUGAGUAUAGGGGCGAAAGACUCAUCGAACCAUCUAGUAGCUGGUUCCCUCCGAAGUUUCCCUCAGGAUAGC
rnacentral:rRNA from 1 species